UGCCCGAUGCUUCCCCUGGCAACCUGGA
rnacentral:piRNA from 1 species